rnacentral:rRNA from 1 species
UACGGGGGGGGGCAAGCGUUGUUCGGAAUUACUGGGCGUAAAGAGCUCGUAGGCGGUCUGUCGCGUCGGCUGUGAAAACCCGGGGCUCAACCCCGGGCCUGCAGUCGAUACGGGCAGACUAGAGUGCGGUAGGGGAGACUGGAAUUCCUGGUGUAGCGGUGAAAUGCGCAGAUAUCAGGAGGAACACCGGUGGCGAAGGCGACUUCCUGGCCUGUUCUUGACGCUGAGGCGCGAAAGCUAGGGUAGCAAACAGG